GUUAUCCAACAGUGUUAGUUAUCCAACAGCGUUAGUUAUCCAACAGUGUUAGUUAUCCUACAGUGUUAGUUAUCCUACAGUGUUAGUUAUCCAACAGUGUUAGUUAUCCAACAGUGUUAGUUAUCCUUCAGUGUUAGUUAUCCUACAGUGUUAGUUAUCCUACAGUGUUAGUUAUCCUACAGUGUUAGUUAUCCUACAGUGUUAGUUAUCCAACAGCAUUAGAGUUAUCCAACAGUGUUAGUUAUCCAACAGUGUUAGUUAUCCAACAGUGUUAGUUAUCCAACAGUGUUAGUUAUCCUACAGUGUUAGUUAUCCUACAGUGUUAGUUAUCCAACAGUGUUAGUUAUCCUACAGUGCUAGUUAUCCUACAGUGUUAGUUAUCCUACAGUGUUAGUUAUCCUACAGUGUUAGUUAUCCAACAGUGAUAGUUAUCCAACAGUGUUAGUUAUCCUUCAGUGUUAGUUAUCCUACAGUGUUAGUUAUCCUACAGUGUUAGUUAUCCAACAGCAUUAGAGUUAUCCAACAGUGUUAGUUAUCCAACAGUGUUAGUUAUCCAACAGUGUUAGUUAUCCUACAGUGUUAGUUAUCCUACAGUGUUAGUUAUCCUACAGUGUUAGUUCCUGUUAAGGCAAGGGCUGAUUUCAAGGUUUUACUGCUAACCUAAAAAGCAUUACAUGGGCUUGCUCCUACCUAUCUUUCCGAUUUGGUCGUGCCGUACAUACCUACACGUACGCUACGGUCACAAGACGCAGGCCUCCUAAUUGUCCCUAGAAUUUCUAAGCAAACGGCUGGAGGUAGGGCUUUCUCCUAUAGAGCUCAAUUUUUAUGGAAUGGUCUGCCUACCAAUGUGAGAGACGCAGACUCAGUCUCAACUUUUAAGUCUUUACUGAAGACUUAUCUCUUCAGUAGGUCCUAUGAUUAAGUAUAGUCUUGCCCAGGAGUGUGAAGGUGAACGGAAAGGCUGGAGCAACGAACUGCCCUUGCUGUCUCUGCCUUGCCGGUUCCCCUCUUUCCACUGGGAAUCUCUCUCUGCCUCUGACCCUUUUACAGGGGCUGAGUCACUGGCUUACUGGUGUUCUUCCAUGCCGUCCAUGGGAGGGGUGCGUCACUUGAGUGGGUUGAGUCACUGACGUGGUCUUCCUGUCUGGGUUGGCGCCCCCCCUUGGGUUGUGCCAUGACGGAGAUCGUUGUGGGCUAUACUCGGCCUUGUCUUAGGACGGUAAGUUGGUGGUUGGAGACAUCCCUCUAGUGGUGUGGGGGCCGUGCUUUGGCAAAGUGGGUUGGGCUAUAUCCUGCCUGUUUGGUCCUGUCCGGGGGGUAUCAUCGGAUGGGGCCACAGUGUCUUCUGAUCCCUCCUGUCUCAGCCUCCAGUAUUUAUGCUGCAGUAGUUUAUGUGUCAGGG
rnacentral:lncRNA from 1 species